UACGUAGGGUGCGAGCGUUAAUCGGAAUUACUGGGCGUAAAGCGCGCGCAGGCGGUUUUGUAAGGCCGAUGUGAAAUCCCCGGGCUUAACCUGGGAAUGGCAUUUGGGACUGCAAGGCUCGAGUGCGGCAGAGGAGACUGGAAUUCCUGGUGUAGCAGUGAAAUGCGUAGAUAUCAGGAGGAACACCGAUGGCGAAGGCAGGUCUCUGGGCUGACACUGACGCUCAUGCACGAAAGCGUGGGGAGCAAACAGG
rnacentral:rRNA from 1 species